GACGAACGCUGGCGGCGUGCUUAACACAUGCAAGUCGAGCGGUAAGGCCCUUUCGGGGGUACGACGAGCGGCGAACGGGUGAGUAACACGUGGGUGACCUGCCCUCAGCUCUGGGAUAAGCCCGGGAAACUGGGUCUAAUACUGGAUAUGACUCCAUGACGCAUGUUGUGGGGUGGAAAGCCUUGUGCGGCUGAGGAUGGGCCCGCGGCCUAUCAGCUUGUUGGUGGGGGAUGGCCUACCAAGGCGACGACGGGUAGCCGGCCUGAGAGGGCGACCGGCCACACUGGGACUGAGACACGGCCCAGACUCCUACGGGAGGCAGCAGUGGGGAAUCUUGCGCAAUGGGCGAAAGCCUGACGCAGCGACGCCGCGUGAGGGAUGACGGCCUGGUGUAAC
rnacentral:rRNA from 1 species